ensembl:snRNA U6 U6 spliceosomal RNA
GUGCUCGCUUCGGCAGCACAUAUACUAAAAUUGGAAUGAUACAGAGAAGAUCAGCAUGACCCCUUGCAAGAAUGCAAUUUCUUGAAGCAUUCCAUAUAAGA